ensembl:misc_RNA
UAGAUUGGCAAUUGGAACUGAAGUCCUCUGUUUAUCCAGAGAACUUGUCCGGCACAGGCAGUAGCAAUAUGAGCUUCCCUGACAUGUCCUGCCAAUCCUCCUGAAUCCUGCCCUGCCUCGGCUCUUUCGUCAAGGGGUAACAAGGCAGGUGAGUCUUGAUAGCUGUUCAGUCUUUGGCCUCU